rfam:Paraburkholderia tropica strain P-31 P31_contig_44, whole genome shotgun sequence.
UCGCCCACAAUGCCUUCAACGGUUUCAACACGGAUGUGGCUUGGUGCCAGUGUGAGCGGACACGAUACACCAGCCGGUCGGCUUUAUGCCGAAGCCCUCCUUAGGGGCAUCCUUGCUGGAGCCGUGACCGGCGUCUCGUACGUUUCAUCAGCCGGCUCCUCCUUUGGUCUCCUCGCGCUAACCCCGUAGCGUGUGGUUUUUAGCGGGCUCCAGGCCCGCUUUUUUUU